UACGUAGGGUGCAAGCGUUAAUCGGAAUUACUGGGCGUAAAGCGUGCGCAGGCGGUUAUGUAAGACAGGUGUGAAAUCCCCGGGCUUAACCUGGGAACUGCAUUUGUGACUGCAUAGCUAGAGUACGGUAGAGGGGGAUGGAAUUCCGCGUGUAGCAGUGAAAUUCGUAGAUAUUGGGAAGACGACCGGAUGGCGAAGGCGGCCAACUGGACCG
rnacentral:rRNA from 1 species